rnacentral:RNase_P_RNA from 1 species
AGAGGGGGAGAGGAAGCCGCGACCUUGACGGUCGAGGAAAGUCCGGACUCCACAGGGUAGGUCGCUGGUCGAGGCAUUUGUCUAAGACCAGAGCCGGCGACGGCUGGAAAGUGCCACAGAAAACAGACAACCAGCUCUUAAUUAAGUGCUGGUAAGGGUGAAACGGUGAGGUAAGAGCUCACCGCUCCGUCCGCGAGGUUCGGAGGCAGGGCAAACCCCGACCGGAGUAAAGCCAAAUAGGGAGGCUGGAGCUGCCCGCUCCGUUACCUCCGGGUAGGCUGCUGAGAUAGAUGGCUUCCUAACACAGGAUCCGGCUUAACUCCCCCUCGUUUC